AUUGAACGCUGGCGGCAGGCCUAACACAUGCAAGUCGAACGAGUGGCGGACGGGUGAGUAAUGCCUGGGAAUCUAGCUUAUGGAGGGGGAUAACUACGGGAAACGGUAGCUAAUACCGCAUACCAUCAGAUGUGCCCAGGUGGGAUUAGCUAGUUGGUGGGGUAACGGCGCACCAAGGCGACGAUCCCUAGCUGGUCUGAGAGGAUGACCAGCCACACUGGAACUGAGACACGGUCCAGACUCCUACGGGAGGCAGCAGUGGGGAAUAUUGCGCAAUGGGGGCAAUCCUGAUGCAGCCAUGCCGCGUGAAUGAAGAAGGCCUUCGGGUUGUAAAGUUCUUUCGGUAGCGAGGCGUUAACUACAGAAGAAGCACCGGCUAACUCCGUGCCAGCAGCCGCGGUAAUAC
rnacentral:rRNA from 1 species